rnacentral:misc_RNA from 1 species
CUACUAAGAAAGAGGCUUACUUACUGGAAUUGGAUUUUUUCAGUAAAGUUUCACAUCCUAGAUUGGUUCCCCUUUUGGGACACUGCUUGGAGAAUGAGAAUGAGAAGUUCUUGAUUUACAAAUAUAUGCCAAAUGGGGAUUUGUCAAGUUCCUUUUAUAGGAAAACCAGUUCAGAAGAUAAUAGUUUACAGUCAUUAGAUUGGAUUACACGAUUGAAAAUUGCGAUAGGAGCAGCGGAAGGUCUAUCUUGUCUGCAUCAUGAGUGUACACCGCCCAUAGUACACAGAGAUGUUCAAGCAAGCAGUAUACUCCUUGAUGAUAAAUUUGAAGUGCGCCUUGGAAGCCUAAGUGAAGUUUGUCCUCAAGAUGGGGAUAUCCAUCAAAACAGGAUUACCAGGUCAUCGGAGCAAGGCACUUCUGGUUCAGUGACAGCAACAUGUGCCUAUGAUAUUUACUGCUUUGGGAGAGUAUUACUUGAGCUGGUAACGGGG